GAUGAACGCUGGCGGCGUGCCUAAUACAUGCAAGUCGAGCGAACGGACGAGAAGCUUGCUUUUCUGAUGUUAGCGGCGGACGGGUGAGUAACACGUGGAUAACCUACCUAUAAGACUGGGAUAACUUCGGGAAACCGGAGCUAAUACCGGAUAAUAUUUUGAACCGCAUGGUUCAAAAGUGAAAGACGGUCUUGCUGUCACUUAUAGAUGGAUCCGCGCUGCAUUAGCUAGUUGGUAAGGUAACGGCUUACCAAGGCAACGAUGCAUAGCCGACCUGAGAGGGUGAUCGGCCACACUGGAACUGAGACACGGUCCAGACUCCUACGGGAGGCAGCAGUAGGGAAUCUUCCGCAAUGGGCGAAAGCCUGACGGAGCAACGCCGCGUGAGUGCUGAAGGUCCUCGGAUCGUAAAACUCUGUUAUUAGGGAAGAACAUAUGUGUAAGUACCUGUGCACAUCUUGACGGUACCUAAUCAGAAAGCCACGGCUAACUACGUG
rnacentral:rRNA from 1 species